rnacentral:rRNA from 1 species
UACGUAGGGUGCGAGCGUUGUCCGGAAUUACUGGGCGUAAAGAGCUCGUAGGUGGUUUGUCGCGUUGUUCGUGAAAACUCACAGCUUAACUGUGGGCGUGCGGGCGAUACGGGCAGACUGGAGUACUGCAGGGGAGACUGGAAAUUCCUGGUGUAGCGGUGGAAUGCGCAGAUAUCAGGAGGAACACCGGUGGCGAAGGCGGGUCUCUGGGCAGUAACUGACGCUGGAGGAAGCGAAAGCGUGGGGGAGCGAACAGGA